rnacentral:rRNA from 1 species
UACGUAGGGCGCAAGCGUUGUCCGGAAUUAUUGGGCGUAAAGAGCUCGUAGGCGGCUUGUCGCGUCUGUUGUGAAAGCCCGGGGCUUAACCCCGGGCCUGCAGUGGGUACGGGCAGACUAGAGUGCGGUAGGGGAGACUGGAAUUCCGUGGUGUAGCGGUGAAAUGCGCAGAUAUCAGGAGGAACACCGAUGGCGAAGGCAGGUCUCUGGGCAUUAACUGACGCUGAGGAGCGAAAGCAUGGGGAGCGAACAGG